rnacentral:rRNA from 1 species
UUCCAGCUCCAAUAGCGUAUAUUAAAGUUGUUGCAGUUAAAAAGCUCGUAGUUGAAUUUCGGGGUUAGUAGGUUGGUCAUGCCUCCGGUAUGUACUGAUCUCACUGAUUCCUCCUUCCUUAUGAACCGUAAUGCCAUUAAUUUGGUGUUGCGGGGAAUUUGGACUGUUACUUUGAAAAAAUUAGAGCGUUUAAAGCAGGCUAACGCUUGAAUACAUUAGCAUGGAAUAAUGAAAUAGGACGUUCGAUCUUAUUUUGUUGGUUUCUAGGAUUGACGUAAUGAUUAAUAGGGAUAGUUGGGGGCAUUAGUAUUCAAUUGUCAGAGGUGAAAUUCUUGGAUUUAUUGAAGACUAACUACUGCGAAAGCAUUUGCCAAGGAUGUUUUCAUUAAUCAAGAACGAAAGUUAGGGGAUCGAAGACGAUCAGAUACCGUCGUAGUCUUAACCAUAAACUAUGUCGACUAGGGAUCGG